UGUAAUACUCUCAACAAUAAAGAUAAAUUUAAAUAAAAGAAGAAAAAAAAGAAAAUUUCCCAGAGUUAAAGAAAAACCACCAGACUGAGGGUCCACAGUGUCCUAAUGGAGUGAGACAGAACACCCAUACCAGACUCACCUGGGGAAAAUGUGGAGCACAGCGAGGAGAUUCUAUAGCUUGGUAAGGGAAAGGACAAGCUUUGUUAGGUUGUCCUUUGUUAGACAAGCAGAUGUUAGAUUUCUCUGAAAGCGUCUCUGGGCUUCUGAUAAUUAGGGUUUUAGAACCCAGAAUUCUGUACCCAGCCCAAUAGGCCACCAAGACCGACAGCAAAGUAGAGACGUGUAGACAUGCAAGUGCUCAGCCACGCACUCCCAUAUGACUUGAAACAAAAUUUGAAAAAAAAGAAAGACAUGGGACCUGAGGAAAAGUGGCCCUACCCUAAAGACAAGAGUGCAGAGAGGGAUCUGGGUUGAUGGAUGUGGCCCAGGUCCAGAUGGCAGCAUCCACGUGAGGCAGGAGUCAGGGCCUCCCAGCAAAUGUCUCCUAAUGCAGGCAGAAUCCUUUCAACAACAGAAUAAUUAAGAAGCAAAAUGAGCUGGGUGUGGACAUAUUUCUGUCAUCAAGAAAAAAGAAAUGCAAUUAGAAACUCUGAGAUAAACACAACUUAUCCAAGUAAGUCGACAUCCAAAUAUGAAGCCAACUCAAUGUGGCAAGAGUCUACAGAGCUGUGAGGUGACAGAGCCCGCCUGUGCUCCGGGCUCAGGCAUCUGCCUCUUAUGACACAUGGCCAUGUCAUGAUUCAAAUGAAAGCAUGAAAAGACGUGAGUUCCUCAAGGUCAUGGUCUGAAGUAAGAGUGAAACCAGCCCUCUCUGUGACAACGGACAUUAGAACACCAGGGACGCAAGCCUCACUUUCAGAGGCAAACCUGGGAUGAAUCAUUUGGGCCUGAUGGUACUUUUUUUUUAAAUUAAAAUGUAAAUCCCUUUUCUGUGCUGAUUAGAGAAGCUAUAGGUGAAGAAAGCUUUCUGGCCCAGGGAGCUAACCAGAGAGGUUCUGUGACAAGUGGUCGGGUUGAAUGAGGACCUGAAUAAAUGUGAGGCUUGCUCCCUGCCUGGGUGGCUCAGUUGGUUGGAGUGUCAUCCUGUACACCAAAAGGUUGCGGGUUCAACUGGGCAGGGCACAUACCUGGGUUGAUGGGUUCGAGCCCUGGUUUGGGAAUGUAGGGGAGGCAACUAAUCGAUGUUUCUCUCUCUCUCUCUCUUAUCAAUGGGAGACAUAUCCUUGGGUGAGGGUUAAAAAAAAAAGUGAGGCUUGCUCCGCUCUGCAUCACAGGUGACAGCCUGGCCUCACUUCCAGAAUCCCCACCAGCUUCCACCCCAGCCACACUCUUAGGGCUAGGGAAACUCCGGGGUGGUGACUCGCUGGGCAGAGGUGCUCAUACCUCAGAGUCACUCCACAGGGGCUGACAGGAGCGGGGCACCUGCCUCUCCUUCACGCACAUGCUCCCUCUGGACCCGGAUUCCACAUUCGCUAGAAAAACAGCCCAGUUUGUGGGCACAGGACGGUGCUGCUUUUCGUCUCCUGGCUGCUGCACAAGUGAUACCAAGCUCGGAACAAUACGGAUGCGCUGGCAGCUCCAAACCUGAAACGCAAAGCAAAGAGAAAUCAAAACAGCCAAGACUUAAAAGUUGAAAUUUUUCAUUUGUCUGUCUUCUCUGUGAGUCCUCCUGGGGGAUUCUGCGAAGAAGAAGAAAAAAAUAACAAAAUUAUAAGUAACUGAAAACUCGCUUGGCCACGAUGAGUUCGGAAUCUCACCGAUGCCCGAGCUGUUUGUGCUGGUGGAGUUUUGCGGUAACUGUCAUGUCCCCUUCCGGAGGCUGACACAACCGAUUCGGGUCGGGUCUCCUGGGGUGACGGAGCAAAAGGACACAACAGCCCCCCUUCACGCCUGUCCAUCCCUUCCCAGAAAUCCACUUUAGGAGAAAGAAACCAGGAGAAUUAAACCAGGCUCCGGCCCUGCCAAGAUGCUGGACUGGCCCAGGCUGCUGCUGGCUCCUGUCCCAACCAGCCCUGAGGGACUGUCACGGGAACGUCCUGUCGCCUAGAAAAGCACCCCGGAGAAGCCGGGAGAGCCCAGUGGUGUCUGGGGCCCGAGGCCAAGGGGUCGGUCACACUGCUCCUGUUUGCGUCCCCUAUGUUGAUAUUUUGUUCUUCAGUGAUUCCUUAUAUCCAAUUUGGUCUUGUAAAAUAUUGCAUUAAAACAUUAUUUAUCCUGAUUCCUGAGUUUUUGGUGCCCCUUGACAUUUUGGGCCUUUGCCUCAGCCUAGUCCAGGCCCUAGUGGGUCAGAAGGCUGCACAGUGAACUUGUGUGCAUGCAUGGUUGUGCAUGUAUAUAUGCGUGCACACAUGGGUAUGCAUGUAUAUGUGUGUGCAUUAUGGUUGUGCACAUGUACAUGUGUCCACACAUGGGGGGGUGUACCCAUUUGUGGUGACUACAGUCUGGGGGGAGCAAAGCUGUAGGUAGAUAAAAUUGGGGAAAGCAGUCUGAGUCCAGCCUUUGUUUCCACAUCAGUCUCCCCACUUGGGACAGUGCCCUUGGGAGUCAAAUGCACAGACGCUGACACAGGCCAGGUGUGGAGACAAGCCAUGGGGCUGGAACUAGAAAUAAAAAGGCUGCCUUAUCCUGAUCAAGUGUGUCUACCACGUGCCUUCAGCAAACAUUACACUCAAUGAACAAACACCUUCCCUUUCAGCUUGGGAAAAAAAUAAACCAAGGAUGCCCAGCGUUGCUGCUUCUGUGUAACACGGGCUGCAGGUCCUGGCCCACACGUGGAGAAAAAGGAAAGGAAAUGAGAAUACAUCUCAGCAUUUUAAAAUGCCUCAGACUGAGGAAUUGGCCGCCUGCUACAGUAAAACCAGGAUCUGGUUUUCUCCAUCUGUUCGUGGACUCCAGGCAUUCCACUGGGGAAAAAAGUAAGCCCCUAAAAUAGAUUCCCAUCACUAGAUGACAUAGCCCUUUGGUAAGAACUAAUUUGCAAGGAAAAUUCCAUAUUUAAUAGCUGCACUUUAACAUUUUUAUAUUUUGGGGUUUCUCCAUAUUAAAAAUAAUGUUGAAUGGAAAUUGUUGUCAAUUAAUAAGGUAAUUAUUAUGCUUACAAGCUAAAUGUACCUUCUUCUGAUCAGGAUUUCCCACCUGAUGUCCUUCAACCUGAAAGCGGGUUAGAUAGAGGAACGGUUUCUUCUCGUCGUUUCUCGAUGCAGGCUGCUGUAAGGGCAGUAACACCACCUUGCCCCUACCCAGGCCACCUUCAGGAAGCUUCACGACCCUCUGGGCAGGGGUCAGACCCAUCCUGCAGAGAAGGCCACAUGUCAGCCCAUCUGAAAACAUUGCAACUUCUCAAGUGUCAACAUAAUCAAAGAUGAACUAUUAAUGCAGGCAGAUGCCACCCGCUGCUUCACAGACCCUGUCACCCUUCCUGGUCCGCGCUGAUGACACCCCAGCCUCCCAUGACCAGUGGGCUGGGAUGAAGUUGCAGCCAACACACUGUGGGGAGAAGUGAUGCUUCCAGAGGCCCUCGCCUCCCCGCUGUCCUCCUUGAAGCAGGCUGGGGGGUCAGCCCGGUGGCCUGGGAAGUCCCUUGUGGCAGACGGCAGCCUGGGCCCUAGACGUCUGAGUGGGGAAGGGGCCCCCUGUCCUACUCGAGCCCUCCUGCUGCCUUAUCAGAUGAACCUCUUUCAACUUUUCCAGGAGCAGUGACCACGCUUGUCCUGUGCUUGAGCCAACGCAGCGCCUCUGUGACCGUCGGUUAGAGCAGUUAGCCCAGCCAAUUGUAAGGGUUCUUUUCACCCCUUUAUCCUGAGAUCUCGCGGAGCAUUUCUGGAGUUUCCAUUCAGCUCGUGGUACCAGCUUCUGUUCUGUGAGUGGAAUUCUCCAGAAACUUCAUUCCCAGACGCUGAGGUUGUGUUCCCGGCACCGCGUUGUUAUCACUGUCGCCCCAGCAGCCAUCGCCGAGCUCAGCUCGCACUUGAGGUUUCCUACGCGGCCUGUGUCAGAGCUCCUGCUAUGACCUGCUGCCGCACGUCCAGCACUUUCCAUCCCCCGGGUGUCUGAGCACCUGGCAGGUGCUCCACGGGGCUGAGCUACCAGACUCCACACAGAUGUGCUCAUAGGAGAGUCUUUAAUUAACUGCAGAGUCUUCUAGCAAAGGAAUCUUGCAAGGCCUUUCCUUCCCGAAGGCUUGGCUCACUGGCAGAGCUCUGAGCAGGUACCAGGGCAGGAGCAAGACUGCAGAGGGUCUGCUCUUCUAAACCACAUUUUCCAGAGACCUGAGACCUAAGAAAUGGAAUAGCAGUCUGCUCACACCAUGGGAAGCACCUCUUCCAUGUUUGCUGCAUGAGCUACACAUAUUCAUGGCAAAAAAAGGAAAGAGAGACUCACAACACCAUCCCACAGAAAAAUGCCUCAUAUACCUAUAUUUAUAUGAACAUAGAUAAAUUACAUGUUGUCCUAUAUGAGCAUGUAAUACAUGAUCUGUCGUAUAGAUUUUUCAUUUAAUAAUUACACCAGUAGCAGUUUUCAAGUAAAUGGAGAGUUGUGUAAAAUGGCGUUUGAAUAAUACAAUUUACUGACUAAUUCUUCAUUGUUGACCAUUUAAGUUGUUCAGAUUUUAGCUUUUAUAAGAAAGCUGUGAAAACACUGUUGUGCAUAUAUUUGGGGACAUACUCUUAUCCUCGGGACAAAUUUUAAGAAGUUGGACUCAUUUUUAAGUUUCUGGUAAGUGACAUCCAAGUAUCCCACAGAGACAAGUGACAAAAGCUCCAGUGUCCCUGAAGUCCCGUCCCCUCCACCCCAGUGACAUUCUUUUUAGUAUUUGCUAGUCUAGUAACUGAAACCUGGUGCCUGGUUACUCCUUUAAUUUCCAGUUUCACAGCAAUGUUGACUGAUUCUCAUGUUAGUUGACCACUUGCAGUUCCUCCAACUGCCUGUAGCCCUCCACCAGCUGUUUUUUUAGUAUGUCUUUUCCUAAUGGCCAUACUAUGAAAAUAUUAGCCCUUUGCUUGCUGCAUUAUGCUGCAAACAUUUCUGUCAUUCGCCUUUUCACUUUGCUGCGUGGUGCUUUUGUUCCUGUUGCGUGUCAGUGAUCCCUCCCUUUCUGGCUUAUGCCCGUCCCUUUGGCUAUUACUGUGAGAGUGUACUGUGUGUGCUCAUCGGCCUUCACGGGCUGCUCUGUGAACGCUGGCACUUAUUUUGGCUCACGGUGUGAGGUGAAUUCCCUGUCCACGGGGAACAUGUGAGUGGGGGACCGGCCCCCUGUGCCCAGCCCCCUUCCUGCCCGUCUGGAAGGCUGCUACUGCAAGUGCCAGACCGGAGCCCAGCUCACCCACUGGCUCCGUGACCCCAGGAAAUGCUCUGCCAGUGGGAACAUAAUCACGGCAACCUCGUGGGUUGUGCUGAGGAUCAAAUAGGCAAGUAUAUAUAAAUCAUGUACUUCUUUUAGUGUCUGGCACAUACUAAGCACUAUAGAAACCUUAUUAUUGUAGAGCCUGGUCUUAAUUUAAUUAAGAUAUAUGAUUGUUUCAUUGCAUACAAUUACAACUUAAUAUUUUAUAA